rnacentral:rRNA from 1 species
UACAUGUGGGGCAAGCGUUGUUCGGAAUUACUGGGCAUAAAGGGCGCGUAGGCGGCCUGGCAAGUGACGGGUGAAAGCCCUCGGCUCAACCGAGGAACUGCCUGUCAUACUGCCGGGCUUGAGUCCGGGAGAGGUGAGUGGAAUUCCCAGUGUAGCGGUGAAAUGCGUAGAUAUUGGGAGGAACACCAGUGGCGAAGGCGGCUCACUGGACCGGAACUGACGCUGGGGCGCGAAAGCGUGGGGAGCAAACAGG